rnacentral:ncRNA from 1 species
UUAUGGGCAAAACCUUCGAAAGAUGGCGACGCAAAACUAUAGGGUCUAAUCCAUAGUAAUAUGAGAAUGACAGCCAGUUGCAG